UACGGAGGGUGCAAGCGUUAAUCGGAAUUACUGGGCGUAAAGCGUGCGCAGGCGGUUUGUUAAGUCCGUUGUGAAAGCCCCGAGCUCAACUUGGGAAUUGCAAUGGAUACUGGCAGGCUGGAGUAUGGUAGAGGAAGGUGGAAUUCCCGGUGUAGCAGUGAAAUGCGUAGAGAUCGGGAGGAACACCAGUGGCGAAGGCGGCCUUCUGGACCAAUACUGACGCUCAUGCACGAAAGCGUGGGGAGCAAACAGG
rnacentral:rRNA from 1 species